CCUGUAGUUAAAUGGGAGAGAAGACAGUAGGGUAGGUAAGAUGCAUAAUAAGAGGUUCCAAAAAGAACUGUUUCAGAGUAGCACAAGGCUACUCUUUGAAGGAUUAUCUGUGUUUGUAUUCCUCUUCAGAGAUUUUCUUGCUUUCAUGUGCUCCAACAUUAGGCAUGAUGCUAAAUUUACAGAGCAAAUUAUACAGUGGUCUUGAAAAAAAUUACAGAACUAAGAAUUUGCAUGUAUAAAGAUGGAUGUAAAGCAGAGUUUCAGAUCAAAGUAAUCCCUGGAAAGGGGAUGAUCGUGCAUGCCUUAAUUCAUGAAACUGCAGCACAGCUUUUGCUUUGGAAUAAGAUAUUUAGUGCAAGUCGUCAAAAGCCCUUUUAUCAAAUUUCUUUUUGAUUUUAUUUAAAAUUCACUCUUUUAAAACGCCUCCUUUUAACUAGAAAUCCUCAUAUCAAGUUUAUGGAAUUUGCGAUUUCCACUUUUCAAGAGGGAUCAUUUUCUGUAGAAUCCCUUUGCAUUCCUCAUGUUUCCUUCCCUUACCUUCUAAUUGACAGAUAUUGGGAUGGGGGUAGAAUCGAGGAAAGCUCGUGGGCUGGCUCUCCAAGUAUCAAAGCAGAGAAUCAGAACCUGGCUUGGAGAAAGAUUGAUGGAUUAUGUCUUCACCAGUUAUUGCAAUUCUGUUUUGGAUUUUAUUUUAUUUAUGAAAGAGAAUGGAGAAAUAAUUUAGAUUCAUUGCUUUCAAUCAAGAAGUAUGGACAACUUUAUUUCCCACUUGUUUACUUCCAGGGCAGCCUUCCCUGAUGGGGAAUGCAAUCCUCAUACAAAAUGGCUAGUAUCAUAUCUACUGUUGUUACAAAUCAUGCCAGAAGCAUUUUAAGAAAUCUCUCCACAGCAUGCAAAUAGCAUACUCUAAUAAGGUUUCAACUAUUUCAACUAUUCAUUUACAUAAAAAUCUCUAACACUGCAUAUGCAUAUUUUCUGUAAAUACAUCUGAAUAAAGCUUUUGCUGACUCGAAUGAGGUAUAAUUUAUAUCAUAAAUGUGACAGGAAGGGUGUUGAUUCAGGUCCUAUUCUUAAAGUAAGUUGAAUACCAAGUGCCCCAGCUCUACUUAGCAUGCAAAUCACAAGACUGAUCUUGAACGACUGCUGCUCAAGGUAGAGGACGUUUGUCCUUUUGCUGCCAGGAUGUUAUAGAGAUGGCAGUGCCUUGGAUGACAGGAGGAAAACUGCUGGAGCCAUCUGCUAAUAAUACAGCAAUGGGCAGAAAUCACUCCGAACUCCUGUUUGUGCUCUGCACUUUACACAUGAACGUGUGUGUGUGCUCACAAACAGAACAGAACAAAGUGUGACUCCAGAAGGACUUUCACUCAGAAGAGGUGGAAUUACAGAGUGAGCUGGACAACGGCUCAGGGGCAGGGGAUUCCUGCUACAAAACCUGGAGUCAAAAUUGAACACAAAAACUUGAGUUCCUUCAUAGAUUUUGUUAAAUCAGAACUUCAUUUUACCUCUCAUAUGCUGUUCAAACACUGCUCGUGGCUCUUUCUUCUCCAUGGCAUAGAUGCAGCCCUGAGCAGGGAGAAGGGCAACAAGGUGCCCUCCCUUCAAGAAGUCAAAGGCAGACUGAGAAACUAAACUUGUAUGUCUGGAAUCUUAUUUCCGUGGCUUUGAAACACCCUUCCUCAAAAAUAUUUUUUUUGUUUUAAUGGACCAAACAGUGUCAUAGCAUAUUGUCAUUGCUGUGAUUUAAAGCUCACUAGACUAAUAAAUCCAGCUGAAUAUAAAAUGAAAAACUGGUGUCUUGCAUGUAAGUCACACUGAACAACUCUGUUAUGAGGUGAAAUUAGAUAUCUUGAGAGUAGUAAUCAUGCACAUAUAUAUAUAUAUUUUUUUAAGAAAAGGGAAUGUGUUACACAGAGGAUCUUGCAUCCUUCUCAUCCUUCCCUCUGAGUUGAAUAAUUAUAGAGAGCAUAUGCAGAAUGCGAAAAUCCGUGGUUAAGGAUGCCGAAAACCAGGAAACCUCUUGAUGCACAGCAGAAUAAUUAUCUUGACCUCUUCUCCUUUGGAGAACAAGCCAAAAGAUAUCUGGCUGUGGGAGCUAGGGUGUUCUCCAGGAGGCUCCUCAGAGUCCCUGUGCCAGGGACCGAUGCUGUGCUGUUCCACUGAGCCGCCUGCAACACUGCCACUCCUGUCUGACUCUAGACUCUAUUACCCUACGGUAAUAUGGGCUCUGUCUCAAAAGCCUGCUCCUCUUCACCUCCUUACCUGGGCAGGCACAGUCUGACAGCCUCAAGCCGUCAACAUCACCCAGACUAUUAUCAUAAGGCUACAGCCCCAGCAAUUUCUUUAGACUUGGCCCCGUAAUGUGGCCCUUUUUUCCAGUAGGUGCCUUAAUCUCUCCCAUUUCAAGACCUCGUACUAUAAAUAAGUUCCUUUAAGAAUAAGUUUGUCAGCAUCCUGGAGGACUGAAAACUACCCUCAUUCGUGUGUUACUGCUGUUACAGCCCUAAUAGCUGCGUGGAGCCCAGUGUCCCUGCCUCGCCUGGUUGUGGGAGCAGAGCAGAGUGUGUUUUGGGGCAGUGAGUUCUUGGCAUCACCAUUGUGAAUUCAUAAUGAUGUGAGAGCCACACUGUUGUGCUGUUUAUUCUUUAAACACUUUGAAAUUAAGCAUGGGGUUCUAAUGAGAAAAACAAAUAAACAAAAAAAACCCACAACAUUGUAAAUUCUUUUUAGAUUUCAAUUUGUGGAAGACUAAAAUCCAGCCAUAAACUGUUGUUCCCUUUCCUCUGCCCUUAAUCUUUGUACUAUCUGCCCUAUAAAAGGUAUAUUCUUGUGUCCUACUGCAGCACUGUUAUCACUCUCCUGUGUUUUACUGUCAAAAAUGUAAAAAUGCAUUGAAUAAAACCUUGUAAAACUAAGACAAGGGUAUUCUGUAGUUUGGGAUUUAGCACUGGAAUGUGAAAUAAUCUGCAAAUAGAAGGGGAACAUUAUCUCUGGUCCUUAUCUCUCUCUAGGUCGAAUCAAGGCAACUGUUUACCUGUCCUAUCAGCAGAAAUGAUGUGACUGCAGACUCCUCAUUUUCAGUGAGCUCUCCUCACUCCCUGGCAGCCUGGUCUGAGCCUCAGGUCUGCAGUUUAGAGCCAAGCCCAUAAUCAGAACUGUUGACUGUUGUGACAUUUGUAUGAAACUCGUUGCUUAAUGCUUGUAGCAGGAAGGACAAGAGACCUGAGAUAUUUAUGUCACUACCAGACACUAAGUAGCCACCAGACUGUCAGAUAACUGGCAGAACAUGAACACAAUGCAGAGAAAUUAGUUGCUAUUGCUCUUAGCAGAGCUGUUCUCUAUUGCGGUGGGAAUAUGUUCUGUUAUUUCAUGAACAUUUAUUUUGCUUUUCUUGGAGGGAGAAUUAAACAUCUGUUUUCUGCUGUGAAAUGUAACUGCAAGGAAAUAACCUGAAUAGCUGGAUUGUAAGUAAGUGAAUUUUUGAGGCCAGUAUCCAACACUAGCCAGAAAUUAUCUUCUCUGAUGCACUGUACAUUUUCAGUGCAGCUCCGCAUUGCAUAUUCAUCGCCACUUGGCUGCACCAAUCUCCAAUUAAUGGGAGCUCCACACAGCAGAUGAGUAAAGAUGACAUUUACAUGACGUGAUGUGCAUAUAAUGUACCACAUGGCAAGUCAGGGGACAUUCGUGAUCUGGGCAAGCCAGGUUUCUCCUUUGCUAUUAAAAUGACACAAUCUCCAACAAUUUAUAUUUUCCAUUCUUUGGAACAUAAGAAGUGCUAAUCCGCAAUGCUAAAAAAAUUAUGAAUCAGUUUCUCUGUUCUGCCAAAGCCAAAAUAAAAAUUAUUUAAGCAUGAAGUUUUAAGAAUAACACACUGUGGAUUCUCCUGUUUUAGGCCCUCUCAGUACAGUCAUAACCAAAAGAAAAUUACACUCAAAUAAACAGAAGAUGAGAUUCUGGAGACUCUCAGAUCUGCAGAAGCUAUCUGGACACACUGGCAGUGCCUGAAUUGACUCUGCAUGAAGGUUGUGAAGGACUUGAACCUGUUGCAUCCCUAUGGCCUGAGCAAGAAAGGCAGAUUUACUGUGAGGAUCGAUGUAUGUGCAGAGAAAAGGAGGACUGUGCUUUUUUCAAAAGAUGCCACUAAAGAAAAGACUUAUUAUUUUCCUUUUUUUUUUUUUUUUCUGUGCAUCUUCUUUAACUUACCUAACUAAACAGGUUUGUUAAAUAACUAUGGAUUAAAAAUUAAUCACACUAUUCCAAUACCUAUUACAUGAAGAUCUGAUGAACACCAGUGAAUACUCUAGGGAUGCAUAAAAUGGGUAUUUAGUCUAAAAUAGUUGUGAAUAAUCUCUUAACGAAAGCAGUUUCUAUGAGAGAAGAAACAUACAUCCCUUGAAGAAGGGAGAGAUGUUUAGAGGAUUAGAAUAAAAUCAUCUUCUCCCUGAAAAAUGGAAUUAUGCUCACAGUAUUAAAAUCUAUGUAGAAAUGUAUGAAAGACAUGUUAAGAAUAAAAGCAAAUAAACAGAUUUAAUAAA